UACGUAGGUGGCAAGCGUUGUCCGGAUUUACUGGGCGUAAAGGGCGUGCAGGCGGUCUGUUAAGUCUAGGGUGAAAGCUCCCGGCUCAACUGGGAGGGGUCUUCGGAUACUGGCGGACUUGAGGAGUGCAGAGGUGAGUGGAAUUCUCGGUGUAGUGGUGAAAUGCGUAGAUAUCGAGAGGAACACCAGCGGCGAAGGCGGCUCACUGGGCACCACCUGACGCUGAGGCGCGAAAGCGUGGGGAGCGAACCGG
rnacentral:rRNA from 1 species